CUGACUUGCGCUGCCGGCGGGAAGAAAGAGGCGCAUGCGUGGUAGCGCCCAGCUGGAGACCCGGAAGACAACCCGCUGAAAGAACAUGCACCGGAAGGAGUCCUGCUCGGCCUUCCUGUGAGAUGAAUACAGUACUUGUAGGUUUCAUAUUUUGAGAGCAGAACUGGCACUAUAUUGCUGAGGAUUGCACAUAAGGUCAGAAAAGUUAACACCUUUAUAAAUUUUGGACAGAUAAAAUUCAGUAAUAUUUUUCACACUAAAAUAUGGAAGCUAUAUUCAACAUGUGCCAUUUCUUUUAAGACAUGUUCAAAAUCUGUAAAAAAUUAUUUUCUAUAAAUUUUGGUCAACAUGCUUCAUUAAAACCUUUUCCAAGUUUUA